AGAGUUUGAUCCUGGCUCAGGAUAAACGCUGGCGGCGUGCCUAAUGCAUGCAAGUCGAACGGAUCAGAUUUCGGUCUGGUUAGUGGCAAACGGGUGAGUAACACGUGGGAAUCUACCUCGAUGUGGGGAACAACUCUCUGAAAGGAGAGCUAAUACCGCAUAAACUCGAAAGAGGAAAGCCUUCGGGCGCAUUGAGAGGAGCCUGCGGCUGAUUAGCUAGUUGGUGGGGUAAAGGCCUACCAAGGCAAUGAUCAGUAGCUGGUCUGAGAGGACAGACAGCCACACUGGGACUAAGAUACGGCCCAGACUCCUACGGGGGGCAGCAGUGAGGGAUCUUCGUCAAUGGGGGAAACCCUGAACGAGCAACGCCGCGUGUGGGAAGACGGCCUUCGGGUUGUAAACCACUUUUCUUGGGGACGAGACAGGACGGUACCCGAGGAAGAAGUCUCGGCUAACUACGUGCCAGCAGCCGCGGUAAUACGUAGGAGACGAGCGUUGUCCGGAGUUACUGGGCGUAAAGGGUGCGCAGGCGGCCAGGCGCGUCGCUAGUGAAAUCUCCCGGCUCAACUGGGAGGGUGGUAGCGAGACGGCUUGGCUUGAGGCUCGGUGAGGGGCGUGGAAUUCCGGGUGGAGCGGUGAAAUGCGUAGAGAUCCGGAGGAACACCAACGGCGAAGGCAGCGCCCUAGACGAGACCUGACGCUCAGGCACGAAAGCUCGGGGAGCGAACAGGAUUAGAUACCCUGGUAGUCCGAGCUGUAAACGAUGUCCACCAGGUGUUGGGGGUAUCGACCCCUCCAGCGCCGCAGCCAACGUGAUGAGUGGACCGCCUGGGGAGUACGGCCGCAAGGUUAAAACUUAAAGGAAUUGACGG
rnacentral:rRNA from 1 species